UCAAUUUUUAGUAUCUAUAUAGUACCCACGGCCGAUUUUUCGUCACGUUAACGUUAACAUUGACCAUAGGUGACAUAUGUGUGUUAAAAUAAUGAUGGUAAAAAAGACUUUUGACUCUGACAAACCCUAAAAUGAAUAUAUUGAAAAUUAAAAUAAUAUUCACCAAAAAACUCUCUCUGUCUCUCUCUCCUGCCGCACAACCAUCUUCCAAAUCCAUCUUAAACCCAGCAAACAAACAACAAGAAAACAAAAUCUAGCUUUGAAAUCCCAGCAAUCGUUUAAGCCUGCUAUGAUUCCAAGGCUGAUGCUACAUCAGCAACAAGUAACCCAUUUGAAAAAAAGUCAUUUGAGAGAAGAAAGAUUGAUUAUGUAAUUGGCUUCAAUUGGGAAGAUUCCCAUUUCAGCCAUUAAUCACAAAUUGAACUGAACCAAAUGCAAACUGAUCACAGGUGAUCCUUUUGAUUGUCGAACUCCAUAGUCGACCUCAUCUAGUUCUAGCUCUCUUUCUCCAUCUGGAAUAUUAUCUUUCCCCAUCUCAAAUCAUACCGGCACUGAUUAGCUAUGGGCAUUGGAGUCGAGGCGUCAUCCUACCUGAGAUUGCUCCGACAACGUCGAGGCGUCAUCCUCGUCCUACACUCGGAAAUUGAAGUCUCAAUCUUUUGAAUUUGAAAGAGUCCAGCACCUAGAACUCUGUAAGGUAGAUCGACGACAGAGAGAAUGGAGGACAAAUAAGUCUUUUUGCCUCACACUACCAGGACAAGCACUUUAGCCGACGAAAAAUUUUCGUCGGCCUGUUAUCUUAAUUCGUCGGCUAAGAUCUUAGCCGACGAAGGCUCGUCGGCUAUAGUGUCGUCGGGAAAAUGUCGUCUGUGAUGACUUUAGCCGACGAAUUUUUUUUUUCGUCGGCUAUAGUCCCACAGUUAGCCGACGAAAAACAUGUCGUCGGUUUUUUUCCCAGACUUUAGCCGACGAAACAAUUAAUAUAUUUGUCGGCUAAAGUGUGUAAUAAAUAAUUAAAAAAUAACUAUAGCCGACGAAAUUUACUAUAUUUCGUCGGCUAAACCUUAUAAAAAAUUUAAAAAAAAUAACUAUAGCCGACGAAAUAUAGAAUAUUUCGUCGGCUAAACCUUAUAAAAAUUUAAAAAAAAUAACUAUAGCCGACGAAUUAUGGCAUAAUUCGUCGGCUAAACCUUAUAAAAAAAAUUUAAAAAUACUAUAGCCGACGAAUAUAGUGUUUAAAUAUCGUCGGCUAAAGUUUCUGGGUUUUGAAAAAAAAAACUGCAGAAACUUUCGGCCACCUCCAAUCACGACCAAAAUUUGACAGAAUCUUUCUCUCAACAUUUCGAACAACUUUGUAGAAGAAGUCGAAGCUCAAUUCUAAGCCUAAACAGGUCAAUCGACUGAAAAUAUAAAAAUCCCCAAUUUUAAACCCUAAAAACUUCAAAUCUUCGAUUCUCUUCACACACACCGAAUCGAGCNNNNNNNNNNNNNNNNNNNNAAAUUUCGUCGGUUAAACUUUUAAAAAUUUCGUCGGCUAAACUUUUAAAAAUUUCGUCGGCUAAAGUUCACAGACUAUAGCCGACGAAAAAAAUUAUUCAGCCGAUGAAAUAUUACUUUCGUCGGCUAAAGUUGACCAUAGCCGACGAAAAUUUUAAAUUAGCCGACGAAGAAAAAUUCGUCGGCUAAAGUGGACUUUAGCCGACGAAAAAAAAAUUCGUCGGCCUGAUUUUUUUAUUUUCGUCGGCUAAAGCCUUUCUUCUGGUAGUGUCAUUUAACAAGUCCGUUGAUGGAGAUUAACCACAGGUAUUACGCAGAUACUAAAAAUCGAGUUUGGGUACCAUUUUGAUAACUUUGUAAGUUCGGGUACCAUAUUGUCAGUCACCCAAGUGUUCAGACACUGUUGGUGUAAAAAAACCCAAAAGUUUAACAUGCACUGUUCACUAUUUCUAUAUGUGACGAGAGAUAGUUGAAAAACUACGUACAAUGCAUAACUUGGGGGAUUUGGCUUAAUUUGUAGUUGCAGGGGGAGCUCUCAGGAACUGGAUUAACAGUCGGAGGUUUUGGACAAUUCCUACCGAUAAUCGUAUCGAUCUGCCUGCACAUAAUAACAGGAAAAUCCAGAAACUUUUAAUAUUCAAAUUUAGCUUUGGCUCUUUUGUAAGAGUGUACUGAAAAUUUAAAAACACUACUGUUAAUUUACAACUGGGAAUAACAAAAGACUAACGAUGGGAAUAACAAAAUCUAAAUUGGUACGUGAUGAGCCAUUGGGGGUUAAACAAUAAAGAAUGUACAAAGUUUUGUUUUGAUUUUAGAAUAAAGAAGCAUCAUACAAAC
rnacentral:lncRNA from 1 species